UCAGCUCAUUGCAACCUCCGCCUCCUGGGUUCAAGCAAUUCUCCUGCCUCAGCCUUCUGAGUAGCUGGGAUUACAGGCGCCCGCCACCACUCCCAGCUAAUUUUUGUAUUUUUAGUAGGGACGAGGUUUCACCAUGUUGGUCAGGCUGGUCUCAAACUCCUGACCUCGUGAUCUGCCCUCCUCAGCUUUCCAAAGUGCUGGGAUUACAGGCAUGAUGGAGAUGAUACUCCCUAAAUCACAAGGGUGUGGUGUGAAGAUGAAAUGGCUGCACGUGACAGAGGAGUUGGAGAACAGGAAGCAAGUGGAUCACUUGGAUGAGCUGUGAUGGGCCCAAGAAGAACUAAGCCAAUCACUGCAGGGGGCGUUUUCCCAGGAUCCAGGCAGAGAGCUGAUUCCAGCAUCCACGUUGUAUCCCCCUUCCGCUGUGGCCGGGGUCUCCAAGAGCCGGGCACCCACUGCUGAGCUUCCAAGCCCAGGCCCAUUUGAACACAGGAGGACUUUUGAGGUUCAUUUAACCCCAAAAUCAGUGAUUCUACAUCUCAAGCUCAUAUUGUGAAGUGUUUACAGACCAGGGAUUUGCCAAUUAUUCUGGAUGGGCAGAGGGAAGGGGCCCUCAGAUCCUGCAGAGGGAGCAUCUGAAAGACAAUGAGACCCUGUACACAACCAAGCUGAGCCUCCUCGUUGGUGCGUGCAUGGAUCCAGGAAGAGCAGGUAUUUGGACCCAACGAGACAGGUUCAUCUUGGCAGUUUGUCUCCUGUGGUUGCUUUGUGCCUGCCCGGUAUCUAUCCACCCAACUUCUGGCAGCAGUCCCUCCAGGACCCACCUCUGUCUUCAUGGUUUGUGUGUUCUGAUCCUGCUCCUUGGCCCCAGAGUACACCCUCCACAUCUAAGCUAUGCAGUGCCUCAUCCCCACAGCUGCAGCGAUUGGUUUAGGAAUGGGAAAAUAAUCCAAUCAGAGUAAGAUUGCCUAACAUCUGAUCCCACUUAUCCCGGAGCCAGAAGUCCCACCUUUCCAGGCUCCUCCAUGUUCUGUCUGGAGCAAUGAGGAGGAAGGUUCAUUCCCUUCUCAGGGAACUUGCUGCGGUGUCCCAGUCCUGACUGUCCCCUCUCUACACCUGCCUGUGGCUCUCCCGUCCCCUGGCAUUCUAACCUGCCACUGAAUUCUUCCCACGCCAAACGCAGGUUAGGAACCUAAGCUCGGAUGAAAUGCUGGCUUAGAGCUCAUUGCUACUGAGAAGCAGAAACCACACUUCUUAGUUGGUAGAGGUGGAUAUGGAUUGGGACCAUAAAGUUUCCUCAAUCAUUGAAUAAGGAUUUCAUUUUUGGACUAACUAAAUACAUUAGAUUAUUUAUACUAACUAAAUAAAUCAGAUUUAUUUUUCGAAGUUUAAAAUCGUUUUCAAUAGUGACGAAAAAGGCUGUAGAUGAGAUGGGAGAAUCUUUCGACGCCAAAUUCUUCCCAUCUCCUCCCUAGUAUGUAUCACUACACCUUGCCCAGAGAGACUGUAGGGGUGCUCAGCAAAAACCAUGGCUGGUUGAUUCCCUGGAAAAAGGGGUGCUGUCCCAGGGAGCUCUGUGCCCUUCCUGCCAACACUGGGGUCUAGAGGAGGCAAGUUCCCCUCUGAAGGUGAGUAUGAUUCACUCAUUAAAACUAAGAAAUUUACAUUGGUAUGUUACUGUUAACUAACCUACAGACUUUUUUCAGAUUUCACCGUUCUUUACACUCUCGUCCUUUCCAAGUUCCGGGAUCCAAUGCAGGAUACCAGGUUGCAUUUUAGGAUGUGUCCAGUCUGUGAUCAUUUCUCAAUCUUUCUUCAUUUUCUCAUGACUUCUGACAUUUAUUUAUUUAUUUAUUGUGUGAGACUGAGUCUCACUCUGUUGCCUAGGCUGGAGUGCAGUGGCCCCAUCUUGGCUCACUACAAUCUCCACCUCCCGGGUUCAAACGAUUCUCCUGCCUCAGCCUCCCAAGCAGCUGGGAUUACAGGCGCACACCACCACACCUGGCUAAUUUGUAUUUUUAGUAGAGAUGGGGUUUCACCAUGUUAGCCAGGCUGGUCUCAAACUCCUGACCUCAGGUGAUCUGCCUGCCUCGGCCUCCCAAAGUGCUAGGAUUACAGGCGCAGGCCACCACGCCCAGCCUGACUUCUGACAUUAGAGUACAGGGAGGGAUUUUGUAGAAUGUCCCUCAAUUUGGGUGUGUCUGGUGUUUUGCCAUGAGACUGGGGUUAUGCUUUUGGGUGCCACACAGAGGUGAAAUGUCCUUCUCAUCACAUUAUUCGAGAGGUACAUGGUACCAAUGGGACUUAUCACUGCUGAUGUUAACCUUGAUCUCUUGGUUCAGGUGGUGCCUGCCAGCUGUCUGCACUGUGGAGUUACUAUUUUUCCUUUUCCCCAUUUUAUUCAUCAGAAGCCAGUCACUAAGCGAGGUCAAACUCCAGGACAGGGGAAUUAAGUGCCACCUCCUGGAGAGGGAGCAUUCACAUUUAUUACUUAGGAUCCUUCUGUAAGGAAGAGCUGUUUCUCCUCUAAAAAACUCUUUAAUCCUUUUAAGCCUCAAUUUCUUAAUUGUGAAAUGGGGCUAAUAUCUGUAUCCAACCAAGGGAGUAGUUAGAAGGUAACAUGAUAGGUGGAAAGCACUUAACAUAGGCAAAAUGUUAUGAUCAGGAAUGAUCGAGAGACCCAUCCAACUAUCUGAAGGAGUCAGUUAACUCUACUGUACUGCAGCGCCGUAAGGUCUGCAUCUUUCACUGGGGGUAAAGGCCCCCAGUCCCUGAGAUGGGCCAGUUUGGAGACAGGCUGGUUUUUUCUCUGUUCUCCUGAGAGCCCUUCAGAUGAGAAGGGAGGUCUGGAGACAGAAUGCCAAAGGCCCAUUAAAGGCACGGCCUUGCAGUUCAGAGAGGGAGCAGGUCUAGAGAAGAACCAGAGGAGCUCAGCUGAGAUAUGGGGUAUGGACUGGAUUUUGGUAGAAGAUGGCAAGAACCAAACACCUGAGAAACCGCUUUGAAGAUCAGGGUCAGAGUCAGGCCUAACACAUAGUUGGCUCCCAGUAAUUAUUGGUUGAUUGAAUGGCUCAAAGAGCAACUCGACCAAGAACACUGGACUGGGAGUCCAGUUACUUGGAUCUUGCAUUCCUGAUUUAUUUUUAUUUUAUAUGUAUUUUUUUUUUAUUUUUUUGAGACGGAGUCUCACUCACUCUGUCGCCCAGGCUGGACUACAAUGGCACGAUCUCGGCUCCCUGCAAACUCUGCCUCCCAGGUUCAAGCGAUUCUCGUGCCUCAGCCUCUCGAGCAGCUGGGAUUACAGGCAUGCACCACCACGCUGGCUAAUUUUUGUAUUUUUAGUAGAGACGGGGUUUUGCCAUGUUGGCCAUGCUGGUGUCGACCUCCUGACCUCAGUUGAUCUUCGUGCCUCAGCCUUCCAAAAUGUUGGGAUUACAGGCGUGAGCCACCGUGCCUGGCUGUGAUUUAUUUUUUGUGUGUGUAUGUUUGUUUGUUUUUGUCAACUUGCUGUGUGACCUUAAGCAAGUUACUUAACUUCUCUGGGCUUCACUUUCCAUGGAUGAAAAUUGUAAAGAGGCUGGAGAGAGAUGAGGACUAGGUACAGGCCUUAGAAGAGAACCACCGCCCCGGACUUCUCCCUCUGUCACCCCGCUUUCCAUGACCCUCCUUGCCUGACUUUGUGACUCCUUGCCUCGCUAUCAAAACAAGUGCUGCAAUCUCAGUGCUUUCCAAGAGCCCGGCAUUGUUAGAAACUUCCCAGCACGCAGCAAAGGCUGCUGCAAUACUCGCUCUGCCUGCCUUUGCCCUGCGCUUCCUACAUACCCUCCUUUUGUUUCUCCUAAACAUCUGUCCCUGACUAUGCUCGUCUCAUGUUUGUCCUCAGCUGCCGAAAGGGCCACGUUUGUUUUCAUUACAAAUAAGACCACCGAGUGGGCUCCUGGCGUAGGGGCGGGAGCAGCCGCGCGCAGUCUUCAGAGGCAGCCCCCCAGGCUCUCUCUGGAGGGUGUGUCUCUGCUUCCCUUUCCCCGUGUUUAUUUUUAGACGAAGCCAAGUGGCCCAGGGGGACCCUCCGGACUCCCAGCCUUCAGAGGGGAGGGCAGCUCGGGGCUUUCGCCCCAGUGCUUCCUGCCCGUCACGUGUGUGUUCCUAGCCCGGGUCGGGGGAGCUGGUAUCUUGGCCCUUCUGGGAGGACGCGCACAGCCCGAGGAGGCAGAGCCCCAGACGGGAAUGGGCUUUUCAGAGGUGGGGUGCGGGCGAGGGGACGAUGCAUUAUUUUUAAUAUUUGAUUUAUUUUUCCAACUGGACUUCUUCCCGGGGCUCUUUCUGGGCCCAGCUGCCUUUGUGAUCCCGCGCCCCGGCCCUCGGCCUCUCACCUCCAGCGCCGGGGCGCCCCCUGCUGUCGGAAGCGGCUGUGACCGGGCAGAGGUGCUAUGUGGGACUCUGGGUUCUCAGCCCGGGGACAGCGAACCGAGGGGCAGAUGAUCCAUCAGAAAAGAGCCGGCACUGCCCAGCCCCGCGCCUCUGCCCCUGCCUUUUUCCGGGAGCGCGCCGCGCCGCACCCGCUACGGCCGCUUGACCCCAUCUUUGAGCCCGGCCCCAAGCUCUGGGACCGUCGUGCCGCUCAUCAAGGAAGAGCCAAGGACCCGAAGGAGAAGAGAAAGGAGUUCAUGAAGGCAGAAAUGCCUGGGGCCCACGAACAUCCCAGUGUGGCCCUAGACGGGACAUCAUGCUGGGCAACAGAGCUAAAAUGCGGGUGAAGACCAGAUUUCUUGCACAUGGCGGUGACAGGAUGCUCCCUAGAGAGAUUCAAGUGGAUUCUUUGCUUUUUAUUUUCUCUCUUAAUAAAAAUGUAUGAUGUUUACAUUGUCAGAGAACAAACAGAA